AGGAUGAACGCUAGCGACAAGGCCUAACACAUGCAAGUCGAGGGGCAGCGACAAGGAAGCAAUCUGAGGUGGCGACCGGCGCACGGGUGAGUAACACGUAUGCAACCUGCCUGUAAGCGGGGAAUAACCCGUUGAAAGACGGACUAAUACCGCAUAAUACUAAAUUACUGCAUGGUAAUUUAUUUAAACAUUUAUGGCUUACAGAUGGGCAUGCGCAUGAUUAGCUAGUUGGAGAGGUAACGGCUCCCCAAGGCAACGAUCAUUAGGGGUUCUGAGAGGAAGGUCCCCCACACUGGUACUGAGACACGGACCAGACUCCUACGGGAGGCAGCAGUGAGGAAUAUUGGUCAAUGGACGAGAGUCUGAACCAGCCAAGUCGCGUGCAGGAAGAAUGUCCUAAUGGAUUGUAAACUGCUUUUGCAGGGGAAUAAAGUGCAUCACGUGUGAUGUUUUGUAUGUACUCUGCGAAUAAGGAUCGGCUAACUCCGUGCCAGCAGCAGC
rnacentral:rRNA from 1 species